CCUUCUUUUGAAGGGAAGGGAAAAUUGGAAGAGUUCUCUAGAAAGUCCGAGCAACAAGCCAAGUUUAAGUCCAGCCUUGACACCCCUGCUUCAGUGUUUAGGCGAAGGCUUCGGCGGCCUGGGGUACUGGAAGAUUCCAGAAAAAUGGCAGCAGGCAGACAUACGGCAAAUCUCUGCUUGUCUCCUCCGGUCUGUCUUAGCAACAGGGCGUGUGAGGCCCAGAGAAUGAGGAAGGAGGAGGCUUCUCUCUCUCUUUCUCUCUCUCUGGGUCCAGCCAGAUGCAGAAGAGGAAGUUGUGGAAAAGACACGUGGCCCCGGGGACGUUACAAGAGUGGCCUUUACUUUAACCAAAAUGCUUGAAUAAGAUAUGAUUUAACAGGGCAAAGAAAAAAAAA
rnacentral:lncRNA from 1 species